ensembl:lincRNA
AUGAAGGCAAAGAUGCCUUGGGGCCCCAGAAGUCACCAUGCAGCUCUGCGUGGUCAGCAUUACCUAUGUUACUGGACCCCUCACAGCUUCUGCCCUCCGGCUCUAUCCACAGCAAGAAGGCUUUCUUCCAUCAAAUAUUUGUGGAGCUGGAACUGGGCUUCACUAUCAUAUUCCAAGGCCCUGUACUGGGAACAGACGAAGAAGCUCCUCCCAGAGACUGGAAGAAUGGUACAAGGUGAGUGGACAGGGAGGUCAGCCGCAACCUGUUAUUCUUUCACAUGGAAAUCUGAAAUAGUGGGAACAUUCUCUUAUUUAUUUUCAGUUAUUCUAAAUGUAGACCUCUGUGUGGAGGUGAGAUAAGAUGGAAAGAUGAGGGGAUGAGGAGGAAAAUGGUAACAGAAAAUCAUGAUUAGUGACUUUUUCUCCUGGAAAAUCACUCUGUUGGUUUAUCUAGCUUAGCCUUGGGGUCUUUCAAAAGUUGAAUCUAGAUCCUUAAGUCCAGUGCCUUUCAGAAUUUCC